AGUUCGAUCCUGGCUCAGAUUGAACGCUGGCGGGAUGCUUUACACAUGCAAGUCGAACGGCAGCACAGGCACCGGUCUGGUGGCGAGUGGCGAACGGGUGAGUAAUGUAUCGGAACGUGCCUAAUGGCGCGGGGAUAACGCACGGCGUAGCUAAUACCACGCUACGCCCUUCGAAGGGGAAAGCGGGGGACCUUCGGGCCUCACUAUUAAAACGGCCGAUAUCGGAUUAGCUAGUUGGUGGGGUAACGGCUCACCAAGGCGACGAUCAUCGCUGGUUUUGAGAGGCGACCAGCCACACUGGGACUGAGACACGGCCCAGACUCCUACGGGAGGCAGCAGUGGGGAAUUUUGGACAAUGGGGAAACCUGAUCCAGCCAUCCCACGCGUGUGCGAUGAAGGCCUUCCAGGUUGUAAAAGCACUUUUGGCAGGAAAGAAACGGCACGGGAUAAUACCCCGUGCAACUGACAGGCAUACCUGCAGAAUAAGCACCGGCUAACUACGUGCGCAGCAGCCGCGGUAAUACGUAAGGGUGCCAAGCGUUAAUCGAAUUACUGGGCGUAAGCGUGCAAACGGUUCGGAAGAAGAUGCUGAAAUCGGGUAACUUUGGAACUGCAUUUUGCUACCGAGCUAGAGUGUGUGUCAGAGGGAGGUGGAAUUCCGCGUGUAGCAGUGAAAUGCGUAGAUGCGGAGAGACACCGAUGGCGAAAGGCAACCUCACCACCAGGAUAACACUGACGCUCAUGCGAAAGCGUAAGGAGCAAACAGGAUUAGAUACCCUGGUAGUCCACCUAAACGGUAUCAACUGGCUGUUGUGAGGCCUUCGGGCCUUGGUAUGCCGGCUAACAUACGUGAAGUUGACCAUAGGGAGUACGGUCGCAAGAUUAAAACUCAAAGGAAUUGACGGGGACACCACAAGCGGUGGAUGAUGUGGAUUAAUUCGAUGCAACGCGAAAAACCUUACCUACCCUUGACAUGUCUGGAAUCCCGAAGAGAUUUGGGAGUGCUCGCAAGAGAGCCGGAACACAGGUGCUGCAUGGCUGUGUCAGCUCGUGUCGUGAGAUGUUGGGUUAAGUCCGCAACGAAGGCGCAACCCUUGUCAUUAGUUGCUACGAAGGGCACUCUAAUGAGACUGCCGGUGACAAACCGGAGGAAGGUGGGGAUGACGUCAAGUCCUCAUGGCCCUUAUGGGUAGGGCUUCACACGUCAUACAAUGGUCGGGACAGAGGGUCGCCAACCCGCGAGGGGGAGCCAAUCAGAAACCCGAUCGUAGUCCGGAUCGCAGUCUGCAACUCGACUGCGUGAAGUCGAGAUCGCUAGUAAUCGCGGAUCAGCAUGUCGCGGUGGACGUUCCCGGGUCUUGUACACACCGCCCGUCACCAUGGGAGUGGGUUUUACCGAUAGUUAAGCUAACCGUAAGGAGGGCGAUUACUACGGUAGGAUUCAUGACUGGGGUGAAGUCGUAACAAGGUAA
rnacentral:rRNA from 1 species